GAUGGACGCUGGCGGCGUGCCUAAUACAUGCAAGUCGAGCGAACGGACGAGAAGCUUGCUUCUCUGAUGUUAGCGGCGGACGGGUGAGUAACACGUGGAUAACCUACCUAUAAGACUGGGAUAACUUCGGGAAACCGUAGCUAAUACCGGAUAAUAUUUUGAACCGCAUGGUUCAAAAGUGAAAGACGGUCUUGCUGUCACUUAUAGAUGGAUCCGCGCUGCAUUAGAUAGUUGGUAAGGUAACGGCUUACCAAGGCAACGAUGCAUAGCCGACCUGAGAGGGUGAUCGGCCACACUGGAACUGAGACACGGUCCAGACUCCUACGGGAGGCAGCAGUAGGGAAUCUUCCGCAAUGGGCGAAAGCCUGACGGAGCAACGCCGCGUGAGUGAUGAAGGUCUUCGGAUCGUAAAACUCUGUUAUUAGGGAAGAACAUAUGUGUAAGUAACUGUGCACAUCUUGACGGUACCUAAUCAGAAAGCCACGGCUAACUACGUG
rnacentral:rRNA from 1 species